rnacentral:rRNA from 1 species
AUUGAACGCUGGCGGCAGGCUUAACACAUGCAAGUCGAGCGGAGAUGAGGUGCUUGCACCUUAUCUUAGCGGCGGACGGGUGAGUAAUGCUUAGGAAUCUGCCUAUUAGUGGGGGACAACAUUCCGAAAGGAAUGCUAAUACCGCAUACGCCCUACGGGGGAAAGCAGGGGAUCUUCGGACCUUGCGCUAAUAGGUGAGCCUAAGUCGGAUUAGCUAGUUGGUGGGGUAAAGGCCUACCAAGGCGACGAUCUGUAGCGGGUCUGAGAGGAUGAUCCGCCACACUGGGACUGAGACACGGCCCAGACUCCUACGGGAGGCAGCAGUGGGGAAUAUUGGACAAUGGGCGGAAGCCUGAUCCAGCCAUGCCGCGUGUGUGGAGAAGGCCUUUUGGUUGUAAAGCACUUUAAGCGAGGAGGAGGCUACCUGGAUUAAUACUCUAGGAUAGUGGACGUUACUCGCAGAAUAAGCACCGGCUAACUCUGUGCCAGCCGCCGCCGUAAUAC